rnacentral:rRNA from 1 species
AACGAACGCUGGCGGCGCGCCUAAUACAUGCAAGUCGAGCGAGAAGACGUAGCAAUACGUUUGUAAAGCGGCGAACGGGUGAGGAAUACAUGGGUAACCUACCCUCGAGUGGGGAAUAACUAGCCGAAGGUUAGCUAAUACCGCGUACGCUCCUUGGACUUCGGUUCAGGGAGGAAAGCGAUACCGUGGGUAUCGCGCUCAUGGAUGGGCUCAUGUCCUAUCAGCUUGUUGGUGAGGUAACGGCUCACCAAGGCUUCGACGGGUAGCUGGUCUGAGAGGACGGCCAGCCACACUGGGACUGAGACACGGCCCAGACUCCUACGGGAGGCAGCAGUGGGGAAUAUUGGACAAUGGGGGCAACCCUGAUCCAGCGACGCCGCGUGUGUGAAGAAGGCCUGCGGGUUGUAAAGC